UUUAAAAUUAUUUAACAAAUAAACAACUUCUGUGACAAGACCUUGACCCUUCGUUUCAUUAUAAUAUCAAAUUGCGCUCUACCAAGUUGUUAUUUAAAUUCAAAAAACGCACAAGCCUAUUAUAUUCAUUAAAAUAGAAGACACCUAGGCGAUCUUUCCAGUAGGAGCACAAAUCAUAUUUUAGUCAUGAUUGUAUAUUUAUAAGACACUGUAAAAUUGUCUGGUAGAGACUAUUUGUAAUAGUGCGAUUUCAGAUUCAGACUGAAUUUUAUUCGUGUUACUUGCCAAUGAUAUGAUCUCAGGAUCUGACAAGGUAGAAGAGUUGGAUGCUCCAUACCUUGUAUGCAGAUACCUAAUGAUAUGACGUUUUCGUCUGUCAUAUGUCUAUUGUCAUUAACCUCAUUUGUAUGGUUCAGCGACUGCUUGAAAAAAAGAUAUAUAGAUAAGAUUUAUAUCUGAAUGUUAUACCAGCUGAGAUCGCAAAAUAGAUGAAUUGAUUUAUGUAAAAUGGCUAAUAGUCCUACCCAAGAAGUGAUUGAGGCAGAGAGAAGGGAGAGAAAGAAAGUAUUCAAGAGUUUCAUAAUAAUUGGUCUUUUAGAAGCUAUAUUUGCCAUUUCCUUACUGAUUUGUGGGAUAUCAGGUGCUAUAUAUGGUAAAAGUGAAUAUUAUGCAGGAGCAUUUAUUGCCGGUGGCUUUUUUUUUCUACAAGGAAUAUAUUUCAUCAACUUUUACAGGAAAGGAAUAUCAAGUAAAACAGAUGAUAAUGGGGUCCUUUUAAAACUGGUAUGUAAUAUACUAAUGAGAGAUCCGGUAUAUACUAAUGGGAGAUCUUGAAUGUUACAUACAUACGAAAGGUCUGGUAUGUAUCAUACUACUGGGAGGUCUGGUUUGUGAUAUACUAAUGGGAAGUCUGGUAUGUAACAUACUAAUGGGAGGUCUGGUUUGUGAUAUACUAAUGGGAAGUCUGGUAUGUAUCAUACUAAUGUGAGGUCUGGUUUGUGAUAUACUAAUUGGAAGUCUGGUAUGUAUCAUACUAAUGGGAGGUCUGGUUUGUGAUAUACUAAUGGGAAGUCUGGUAUGUAGCAUACUAAUGGGAAGUCUGGUAUGUAGCAUACUAAUGGGAAGUCUGGUAUGUAGCAUACUAAUGGGAAGUCUGGUUUGUGAUAUACUAAUGGAAAGUCUGGUAUGUAGCAUACUAAUGGGAGGUCUGGUUUGUAAUAUACUAAUGGGAAGUCUGGUAUGUAGCAUACUAAUGGGAGAUCUGUUAUGUCAUAUACUAAUGGGAGAUCUAGUAUGUAACAUACUAGUCGGAGAUCUGGUAUGUAAUAUACUAAUGGGAGAUCUGUAAUGUCAUACACCAACGAGAGAUCUGGUAUGUAAUAUACUAACGGUAGAUCUGGUAUGUAAUAUACUAAUUGGAGAUUUGUUAUGUCAUACACUAAUGGGGGGUCUGGUAUGCAACAUACUAAUGGGAGAUCUUGUAUGUAAUAUACUUAUGGGAGAUCUGGUAUGUAAUAUACUAAUCGGAGAUCUGUUAUGUCAUACACCAAUUGGAGAUUUGGUAUGUAAUAUACUAACGGGAGAUCUGGUAUGUAAUAUACUAAUUGGAGAUCUGUUAUGUCAUACACUAAUGGGGGUCUGGUAUGUAACAUACUAAUGGGAGAUCUGGUAUGUUAUAUACUAAUGGGAGAUCUGUUAUGUCAUACACUAAUGGGAGGUCUGGUAUGUAACAUACUGAUGGGAGAUCUGUUAUGGCAUAUACUAAUGGGAGAUCUGUUAUGUCAUACACUAAUGAGGGGUCUGGUAUGUAACAUACUAAUGGGAGAUCUGUUAUGGCAUAUACGAAUGGGAGAUCUGUUAUGUCAUACACUAAUGGGGGGUCUGGUAUGUAACAUACUAAUGGGGUGUCUGGUAUGUAAUAUACCAACGGGAGAUGUGGUAUGUAAUAUACUUAUUGGAGAUCUGUUAUGUCAUUCACUAAUGGGGGGUCUGGUAUGUAACAUACUAAUGGGAGAUCUGGUAUGUAUCAUACUUAUAGGAGAUCCAUUGUGUAAUACACAAAUGGGAGUUGUGGUAUGUAACAUACUAAUAGGAGAUCGGUUAUGGCAUAUACUAAUGAGAGAUCUGGUAUGUAACAUACUAAUGGGAGAUCUGUUAUGUCAUACAUCAACGGGAAAUCUGGUAUGUAAUAUUCUAGUUGGAUAUCUGGAUGUAACAUACUAAUGGGAGAUCUGGUAUGUAACAUACUAACGGGAGAUCUGGUAUGUAAUUUACUAAUUGGAGAUCUGUGAUGUCAUACCCUAA